ensembl:lncRNA
GAGCCGAGAGCAUAAGAGGUGCUAGUUAAAAGUGAGGUUUGAUUAGUACAACAGGUGGCAGGGUUUCGGCGUGCUGUGAGGAAUCUGGGCUGCUCCAAGUUCCCAUCGCUUUCCUGGCAAGGAAAGAAGGAGGUGAGUGACCUCGCUGUCGAGGAAGGAGAAGACCGUAGUGCACGCUCAACUGAUGUCUUUUCCAGGAGGAAUUCAGGACAUUGUGUAGGCAGUCUGAGAAAACUUGAAGGAGGACACAUGACAGCCAUCAUGCUCUUCAAACAAAAGGGGGCCACUGCCACCUCUUCUCAAAUUCCAUUCUUCCCAGAGAAUGUUUCCCUGAAUAGUCUGCCCAUCCCAAAUCCUUUUGCUGAGUGGUUAGGUCAAUGGAAAGUCUUUUGCAGACCUCUCUCUCUCAUCCGUUGAACUCAAACUUCAAUGUACAUGAUAAACCCCGGGGAGCUCAUUAUAAUGAUUCCUCAGCCCUGCUCCAAACCUACUGAAUCAGAAUCUCCACCGUGGUCCCAGUAUUCUCAACUUUAGGCGCUUCUUAUGUAGCACACUGUUCUUUCUCUGGUUUGGAGGAAGGGAUCCAUCCAACCGCCCAUCCAUCCAUCUAUCCAUUCAUCCUUCCUUCCAUCCAUCCGUCCAUCCAUCCAUUCAUCCUUCCAUCCUUCCAUCCAUCCAUCCAUCCAUCUAUCCAUCAUCCAUCCAUCCAUCCUUUCAUCCAUCCAUCCAUCCAUCCAUCCACCCAUUUAUUCAUUCAAAAAAUAUUCAUCAAGGGCCUAUGAUGUGCCAGGCAUGCUCCAGUCAGUGGAGAUACAGAAGUGACGAAGACAGAAAUGUCUACCAUCAGACAUGUUGCUUCCUUGUGAGGAAAAAAGACAGGUAGGUAAGUUAUGUAGUCUGUCAGUGGGGGUAAGUGCUAUGGAAAACCUAAAGCAGGAGAGAGAGAAAGGGAAUGUGAUGGGGCAGCCGAAAUUUUAACAAGAGUGGUUGGGCAAAGCUCCUCUGAGAAGGUGACAUUUGCAUUGAAGAUUUAAAAAAGGAGAGAGAGCCGGCCAUGAUGAUGCCCAUAGAAAGAAAGAAUUCCUGACAGAGGGACCAAAAAUAGCGAGGUCCAGAGCCAUGGUAGCCUGUCCUAGAAAUAGAGAGUCAGUGCAGCUGGGCUGGGGGUGAGUCAGAGAGGCUGGGAGGAGCUGGAGCACGCGGGCGCUGAGGCCACUGGAGGACUCUGGGUUUGACUCUGGUUGGGAUGAGAAGCCCUUGGAGGGGCUGGAACUGUGGAGUUGUGUGAUCCAAUUGUGGUUGUAACAGAAUCACUUUGGCUGCUAUGUUUAGAAUAAACAAAAAGAGGGCGAAAUGGAUUCAGGUAGCUUGGUUAGGAGGCAAGUGCAAUAAUCCAGGUGUGUGAUAGGGCUGCCACUUAUAGGCUGUGUCUGCAUGAUCCUAGAGGGCGCCACUGCACAAACACUGUUGGAAUAGUGCCACGUGAUUGCCCUGCUUGGGCCUGGGGGUUACCAGCAGAUGCUGCGGAAAGUGCUAGGAUUCUGGCUCCAUGUGGAAGGGCUCUUCCUGCAGAGCAAGUACAGGGUAGAAAUGUCGUUUCGAUUCUCAAGAACCAGCAGAAUGGCACCAAGUGUUCUCCUGGUUUUGUCGUGGGCCAUCCAUCUCCCAAGAGCCCGGGAAGACAGAGUGGAAAGGUCACCGGGAGGACCUCGCUGGGUGCUGCUCAUAUUUGUGACCAGACCAACAACUGGCUGACUCCAACUUGGAUGAAUUUGAGGACAUGUCUCUGGGGUGAAGAGUGGUCAACAAGAAAACCUCACGUUCCCUGCUCCAGGGGACGCAGCUGGGGAGGGUCUUGGUCGUGGAAAAUCGCUGCUGUCCCAGAGUCAGAAGACCGAGCAGGGUGCCUCACCUCCAACAUGAAAAAGAAAUAAAGAUCAAUAGAAACACACAAAAUGAGGUGCGGAAAAGGGAACUUGUGCCCUGAAAUCCCUCAAGACUAAUAGUUGAAAUUAUUGUGACAAGUGCAUUCUUGUCACAAUGGGCUAGUUGACAUUUCUCCAUUAAGAUAAAAAUUCCAGCAUUUUCUAAGGGAUGUCAGUUUAACGACAUUCUUUGAACAAAAUACCCAAGCUCGCUGACUUAGCCUCCCUUUGACAAGGUCUGACCUCUUUGUCUUCAAAGGUAAAUACCGACUCUGACAACGGGUGAAAAGCAUUCACUUCAAGUUGUUGCGAGCUCUCCCUGACAUACGUAUUCUGUGAC